AACGAACGCUGGCGGCAGGCUUAACACAUGCAAGUCGAACGAGAUCUUCGGAUCUAGUGGCAGACGGGUGAGGAACACGUGGGAACAUCCCUUUCAGUUCGGAAUAACGUUGGGAAACUAACGCUAAUACCGGAUACGUCCUUCGGGAGAAAGAUUUAUCGCUGAAAGAUUGGCCCGCGUCUGAUUAGCUAGUUGGUGAGGUAACGGCUCACCAAGGCUACGAUCAGUAGCUGAUCUGAGAGGAUGAUCAGCCACAUUGGGACUGAGACACGGCCCAAACUCCUACGGGAGGCAGCAGUGGGGAAUAUUGGACAAUGGGCGCAAGCUUGAUCCAGCCAUGCCGCGUGAGUGAUGACGGCCUUCGGGUUGUAAAGCUCUUUUGUCCGGGAAGAUAAUGACUGCACCGGAAGAAUAAGCCCCGGCAAACUUCGUGCCAGCAGCCGUCGUAA
rnacentral:rRNA from 1 species